rnacentral:rRNA from 1 species
AACGCUAGCUACAGGCUUAACACAUGCAAGUCGAGGGGCAGCAUGAAGUUUGCUUGCAAACUUUGAUGGCGACCGGCGCACGGGUGAGUAACGCGUAUCCAACCUUCCCCUUAGUAGGGCAUAGCCCGUAGAAAUGCGGAUUAAUACCCUAUGUUGUCCGACGAGGACAUCUGAAUUGGAUCAAAGAUUUAUCGCUAAGGGAUGGGGAUGCGUCCGAUUAGGUAGUCGGCGGGGUAACGGCCCACCGAGCCAUCGAUCGGUAGGGGUUCUGAGAGGAAGGUCCCCCACACUGGUACUGAGACACGGACCAGACUCCUACGGGAGGCAGCAGUGAGGAAUAUUGGUCAAUGGGCGUGAGCCUGAACCAGCCAAGUAGCGUGCAGGAUGACGGCCCUAUGGGUUGUAAACUGCUUUUAUACGGGGAUAAAGUGACCCACGUGUGGGUUUUUGUAGGUACCGUAUGAAUAAGGACCGGCUAAUUCCGUGCCAGCAGCCGCGGUAAUACGGAAGGUCCGGGCGUUAUCCGGAUUUAUUGGGUUUAAAGGGAGCGCAGGCGGGCGUUUAAGCGUGUUGUGAAAUGUACCGGCUCAACCGGUGAACUGCAGCGCGAACUGGGUGCCUUGAGUGAGUACGACGUGUACGGAAUUCGUGGUGUAGCGGUGAAAUGCUUAGAUAUCACGAAGAACUCCGAUUG